rnacentral:tRNA from 1 species
CCUUCGAUAGCUCAGUUGGUAGAGCGGAGGACUGUAGAUCCUUAGGUCGCUGGUUCGAAUCCGGCUCAAAGGA